GACGAACGCUGGCGGCGUGCUUAACACAUGCAAGUCGAACGGACAGGCCCUGCGCUUGUGGGUGGCUCGAGUGCCGAACGGGUGAGUAACACGCGUGUAAACUGUCCCUUACAUUGGGAUAACUCACCGAAACAUGGGCUCAUACCCGGUAUGAGCUCCUGCUUCACGUUGGGGGUUGUAGAGAUUCGGCGGUAGGUGAUGGUCGCGCGGCUUAUCAGCUAGCUGGUGGGGUAGUGGUUUACCACGGCUCUGACGGGUAGCCGACCUGAGCGGGUCACCGGCCACAAUGGGACUGAGAUACGGAGCAGUCUGCUACGGGAGGCAGAAGUGGAGAAUCUGGCACAAUGGGCGGAAGCCUGAUGCAGCGACGCCGCGUGCGUGAUGAUGGCCUGCGGGUUAUAAACCGCUUUCGCAGGUGACGGAGCGAGCGUGACGGUAAUUGGUAAGGAAGCAACGGCUAACUACGUG
rnacentral:rRNA from 1 species